GAUGCUGGGAUGAUCUCAGGCAGAAGAACAGUGUGGGACCAUCUCUCACCCUUCCAGGAUCCUGCAAUAAUUCCUCUGUUCUGUAUGGAAAAGAAGCAAGCUAAGAAUUCUUAGCUUCUAUGAAGACCAGGCCUUCAAGAGAAGUGGCACAGGAUAGCUUUCACAGGCUCUGAGGCCAACUAGCUGUAAAAUUAGAAGAGACCUACAAUGGAGAGAAAAGGAUUUUUUUAAAACUAAAUGUUAUUCAAGACCUAAGCCCAAAAAGGAAUUGCAAGUUGGCCAUGGUUGUCUAUACAGCGCAUACUGGACAAAAUGCCAGCUUUUCUUCCUCAAAGCUAGAAUCAAAAAGAAGAAAAAAUUGAAGCUCUUGCUUAUUAAUCACCCUCCAAAAAUGUCAACAUAUAUACGUUUAAAAGCCUGCAGGGGAUCCAGAGAAAAAUGUUAACGCAUGUAGAAUGCUCAUGAAAUGUAAGCCAGGUGUGAAUUGUUUUGUUUUUCUUCAGAAGAGCAGACUCACAGGACUUCCGUUAUUACCCCGUGGUUCAGUUCUCACCACAGGUUAGAGAAAUGCAGCUGAGUAAAAAGGAAAACUAAACUCUCUCUGGAUGUUUCUGGACCAAAUACAAAUAUUCAACUCUGGGGGUAAGAUGACAAAAUAGGACCAAAUAUGAAAUUGCCCAAUUCACAAUAGGCAGUGAAGAAAUAAGCACAGCUAGAGAAAAUUAAAUUACAUCCUGUUCUCAAAUAAAUGAAGCAGGGAGGUCUCGUGCUACAUCUCUGAAAGACCCUCAAACCAGGUGUUUCUAAAAUCAUCUUUCCCAAAGCCAAUUCUGAAACACAAGAAGGAGGUGACAAAAAGUUGGGUGAAAAGCCUCCCCAGUUCAGAGGGAAGAAGCUAACAAGAAUCGGUAGGUGGCCAGAGGAAGUGAAGAAGGAUGUCUCCCUGGAGGAGAACUCACCCAGCAGGACUACGGGAAUGCGUGAAUUCCUGGAGAAGGCUAUCUCCACAAACAUAUGGGGCUUCCUGUCCCACAAAGCCAGACUUUCUUAACCGGGAAAGCCAAGAAGCUCGCUGAGAUUAGCUGGAUCCAAGAUACAAACUCUACGUGAAUCAAAAUUUAAAUUCUCAGCCUUCCAGUAGAUUAAAACUGCGGAUCCCGGAAGUGGAGUGGAGAAGAACUCGGUGAGAGACAGCUUCGGAGCGGGACCCCAGGCACCAAGUCCUCUUUCGCCGCUGAUAAGGGGCCUUGUGCAGGCUGCUACAAGAUGGUGCUCUCAUCUGCGGAAUGGGAACCAGUAUCAGACCAAUGCUUGAGGCUAAAACUAGCCGAUUUAAGACAGCUCCAUAGAAAAUGCCAGGCUCUUGGCAAGGACCACAUACGUAGACUUCCCUUUCUUUUCUCCUGCUGGCCAGGGAGAAGUCGAGGAUCCACCAGUGAAGUUCCUUUAUGCAGUGGAUGGUGACUAACACAGAGACUCACAACUGUAGAAAUAUAAUAAAUAAGUACAUGUAGAAUGUACAACCAUAAACAGUGCAUCACAUCACACCCCUCCCCUACAAAGUUCAGGGACCUUUGUGGAACAGGGAACCAGAAAGACUGUAAGAGCCAGAGGUAGAGAAGGACCAGAGCAAAAUGAUAACUUCUGGAAAUGAGAGGACCACUGCCCUCACGAAGUCACGGCAGCUGUGGUUACCUGCCUAAACCCUGCCAGCUCAAGCCAGUUAAUGUGCUAGCACGGAGCAGGAAGGGAGGGGUUCAUGAGCCCCAACACUCAAAAGGUAGCAUCUGAUAAGUGUAAGGAAUAUGAAGCCUGGCUCUAAGAUUUUUGGAUCUGCACCAGGUUGGAUGGAUUAUAGGGAGGAAGCACACCAAAAAUGAACCAGAGUUGGAAUGAAGAGCAUCUCUUUACAUCUAUCUGAACGUAUUCAUGUUAGUGUGUCCAUGAGACAUUCAGGAGUAAAUGUGGGACUAAAAAUAGCAGAAAAGUAAGGGGGAAAAAAGAUAUUUUUGUGAAACAAAGCACAGGGGGUGGUAUUUGCUAGAAAGAAGAAUGGGCAAGGAAAAUGCUGGGAAGAAAGAUAACGGUUGGGAUACGCUGGUGUGGAGGCCCAGCAUGGGGCAUGGGGAGGGCUGAGGAAGAAGGAGGAAAGGAGACAUGGAGUAAACACAGGAACUCCCCUCCAGCCAUGUGGCUGAAUGCUGGCUACUGCAGACAAAGGGAGCAAAAGUCAAGGAGGGUUCUGGAGAGAAGAGGAAAGGUUAAAGUUGUUAAAGGGGCAGCUGGUGAACAAGGAGGAAAAACAAGUAAACAAUGGAGGCAGAUUUCCAUCAAUUUGUAGUGGCACCAGUUUGCCUGGAAAGGCAAUUAUUUCUCGCCAUGAUAGUCUGAGUUGAGCUGGGAAAUCCUCAAUUGUGGUUUAAAAAAAACGAAGAAGAAAACAAAAACAUCACAACGGAGUUAAGCAGCUCAAGGGAAAAUGUUCCCAUUGUCUUUGGGAUCCAGGCUCCACAUGGUAUGAAUUUGGUCUCCAAGAGUCCCAUAGUUACUGAAAAAUGGAUGACUCAAGUGACCAGAGGCCUCAGUGAUGGUGAGCUGCCUGGGAAGAGAAGGCAGAGGGUUGAGAAAGCUGAAAGAAAGGUGGAGCAAGAGAGGCGGGGGAACCCACACCUCGGCAGCAGCUUCUACUUUGGACUCUCCUCUGGCCAAGCUGGCAUCGGCUCUGGACAGUUCUCUUGCAGGUCAGGGCUGGGUGGUAAUGCCCGGAGAAGCAGUUCUAAUGGAUGACAACAGGAAGCUCCCUCUGAACGCCUUCCACUACUGGCAUCUGAUAGACUACCUUCCUGUUAGAGCUCAGGACAGGAUAGCCAUCCUGGUUUCCCCAGAGCUCAAUGCGAUCAUCAGGGAAUGCUGGGAAAUCAAGACAAUUGAUCACCCACCCUAAGAAUUAUUUGGAAAUGCUGUUAUACGUCUGUCUAUGGUUUGAAUAUGAAGUGUCUGCCGUAGGUUCGUGCACUUGGGAACUACUUGCCAGCUGAGCAGCUUUGGGAAAUGACUGGGAACUCAGGGUGCUGACCCAGUCAGUGGAUUAACCCCUUGACAGAUCUGUAAUACUGUGACAUGAUUAGGAGAUGAUGAAAAGUAGAAGGUGGGGUCUGGUUAGAGAAAUAGAUUCCUAGGGACACACCUAGAAAGAUGUGCCUUAUCUCCUCUCUGUGCUCUGUCUGCCAAGAGGCAAUUUGCUUUUCCCCACUUCAUGCUUACCAUUGUGGUCCUCAGGCUCAGCUCAGGACCUCAGCAGUAGAGUCAACCACUGUGGGCUGAAACCACUAGGAACUUUGAGCCAAGAAAAAUCUUUCCUUCUGGACCAGAGGUUUUCAACCUUCCUAGUGCUGUGACCCUUCAAUACAGUUCCUCAUGCUGUAGUGACCCCUAAACAUAAAAUUAUUUUCGUUGCUACUCCGUUGUUGUUUCAACUCUGGCACAGUGGCUAUUUACUACUGCUAUUUCAGCCAACAAUUGCAACUCCACAGUUACCAGCCUGUUUCUCUAGCAGUGGCCCCGCCACUCAGACUGCAGCCUGGUGGGAAUUCUCUCUCCACAGGGACCAACCCUGUCCGUGCCACUAAAGGUAGCUUUAACUAAAUAGAAAUUUAGUUAAAUCAUUCUAUUUAUAAAUAAGACUUGAGAUUCAAAGGCUAGGGUGAAAACCUGGUAGCUCAGAGAGGCUGAGUAGCAAAUAGUUAAUCUUCUCUCCUUGCUGGCAUCUCCCAAAGAGACUCAUCCUUCCUCUCCAUUGCUACAGGCCACAAGAAUAUGAAAUAGAGAUUCAGCUGCAUAUGAUAAAGCUAUAACUUAAAGGAUCAAGGAAUCCUUCUAGAGGAAAAGUCAAUUAUCAAAGAACAUUUGAUGUUAUUCAGCUCUUAAUAUACCAGCUGUUUCCUACUAUCAAUUUCUUGUGCACCCAUAGCUCCUAGGCCAUAAUAGCAACAGCAUAAGCCUCUCAGACCUACUGCUGAUUUGUACUAGGUAACCUGUCUCAUAGGCCUAGGAGAUGGGCAGAUGUAUAAAUGCAUAGCUUUAUUUCUUGUGCAAAUGAAACUCAGACCACCCCUUUCUCUCACAGGACUAGUGGCAUCCCAGAGCUAUUGACUCAGAACAAAAGGAUUUUUUUUUUUUUUUUUUUUUUUGCAUAACUAGGUAGAGUGAAGACUGGGGCAGAAUUCCUGACUCCGGGUGAGGGUUAGAAUGGCUCACUGGAGGAGAAGGCAGCAAGGAAAAGUCUUUGCAGAUUGUGGGUGGAUUGGAAUCAGGUCAAGAGAGGAGAAGAGGAAGGAAAGUUGGGGUGAAGGAAUAGAGGGCGAAGAUGAGAUUGAUAGCAGAAGAGCUUAGUUAGGCCUAUGAGAUGACAGGAAGAGAAGGGACAGAGAGGAGCUACAUAUAAGAAUAGAAAUAAAGUUGUGUAGUUAGAAUUUAACCUCAGAGGAAUAAAGUAAAUGGACAAAAGAACCCAAUGUAUUUAGAUUCUUUUCCCUAAGAUUACCCCACGCCGGCCAUAGCAUCUUCCCCAGGAUGCUGGGAGAAAUCUUCUCAGGGCACGCCCCUGGAAAAUUUUGAUAUUCCAUUCAACAAAAAAAGCUGAGCCACUUCAAAUCCUUCCCUACUACUUCCAGUGCAUAUCUCUCUCUCUCUCUCUCUCUCUCUCUCUCUCUCUCUCUCUCUCUCUCUCCCAGAUGCCCUUUGAUGCUCUGAUUACUUUCUGUCAACUAGUCACUAACUCAGCCUCCUGACCUAAAGUUAAUUUUAUUUGGUUAAUGCAAAUGUAAACUCAGGGUUCACAGUGUGAUUGAAUAUCUCCCAACACCCCCUAACUGUAGUUCUGCUACUGUUAGGAGUCAUAAUGUAAAUAUCUGUGUUUUCUCAUGGUCUCAGGUGACCCCUGUGAAAGGGUAGUACAUCAUCAAAGGCAUCAUGACCCACAAGUUGAGAAAUGCUGUUCUAGAUGGUCAGUCUAGACAAUGAAUUGAAGCCUGACUUAAUGCAGUUGGUAAAUUCGGUGAUGCUCACAAGUGAAAACCAAAGGUGUUGUGAAAUAAUCCUUCUGUACACUGUGAAUAUGCAUUACUUUCAUUGGCUUAUAAAAAUCUGAUAGGCCAGUAGUCAGGCAGGAAAUAUAGAUGGGACAGCCAAAAAUGGAAGACCCUGGGAAGAAGAAGGCAGAGUCAGUAGAGAGGCUAGCCAG